GUCUCGGCCAGGGCCCAGACAGUUAGCUAACGUAUGUGUUAAGACUACCUAGCUUAACAACAAACGUAAAAUAAUUAUAUAUUCAGUCAAAAUCGCCCAUAAAGGUGACGCAGUAACGACGUUAAAGCGAACAUGGCUAACACGAUUAGCUCAUUGAAAAAGGAUUCAUUCAUCAUCACAUCAGCUCUUCUCCUGCAUAGAAAUCUUAAUCAUGGCGUCUGCGGCGUGACGUACUCAGCUUUGACGUGCUUUGGAUGGGCUAGUAGCGGACUGGAUGAAAAUGUGGUCGAUAUAACUCCAUAACAAUGUUUUUUGGUAAUGGUAAUGUUUUUUGGAAUACACACAAAUAUAUAUUCAAAAGUAACAGCUUGCCAAUACAUUUAGAAUGGUAGGUCCAGCCCCUUGCCCCUGUUAACCAGAAGGUGGCAGUCUCCUCUUCACUUUCAAAGUGCUCAAAGAUUUCUAAAACUGAUUGCGUUCAAAAAGGUAGCCCAAUUCUGAAGUUCUUGUUUUUUUUGUGCUAAUGAGAUCAUUUCUAAAAGUGGUAUCAUGUGAUUGAUCAAAAUACCAUUGUUGAACUAAAAAUGUAUGUCUCUCAGUGUAAAUGUGCAUGCCAUUAUUUAAACAAAUAAGCAAUUUAGUAUAGAAAAAAGAACACACUUUCUCU